CCUUAAAACAACAACAACAAAAAUCCUGGGUGUUGGGACUGUGCUCUGUGGGUUAACCCUCAGAGGGACUUAAAAUCUGCUUACUGAGUUUAACAAAAAUAACACUUUUCAUAUUUACUGAGUAUUUUCUACCAGCAGAAAGUCUGGUUAGCUGUUAUUAAUAUGGGCCAAGUAUUGUCCUAAGCACUUUUCAGAACUCAUUCAUCUUAUGCUCACAACCAACCCCACGAGGUAGGCACCACCCUCACCCACAUUUUAUAGGAGAAGAAACUGAGGGGCAGAGUGGCUAAGUUACUUGCCCAAGGACAUGAAAUGAGUAAUUCAAGAGCUCGGAUUCCUCUCCUGCUGGUCUUGCUUCACACCUCCUGCUCCAGCAACUACCCUAGACUGCCAGUCAUUUGAGAGUUGCUGUUGUCUUGCACCUAUUUUCUCAUGGCAGGAUUUCUCUUAUUUCAUGCAGGGAAGAAGCAGGAAGGAGGUCUGAAAGGGGGGAUAACACUGAAACUUUGCCAGCUCUCUGCCUUUGGCCAGAAGGGGAGUCGGGGGUCUGGCUUCAACAAUUUCAUAUAAAAACAUUCCACAGAACAACGAACCUGACUCAUGGAAAAUGAGAAAACUAACAUGGCCCAACCUCUUCGCAACGUCCUAGCAGUUUUAGUCCACAUUUUAACCCAGUGCUUCGCAUUACCUGGAUUUUACACGCAGAGAAACCGAGGCUGAGGAAGGAUAAAUUUGCCAGGAGGUGGUGGAGUCUGGGUUGGAAUGUAAGUCUGUCUGUCUUCAAUGCCUGUGCUUUUUAAAUUCUAUGACUAAUAAACACGAAAACGCUAUGGA